UUGGACAGGCUCCAGCAACGCCCGUUACCCUUGUGAGGAUAAAGCGGUCCAGAAAAUGGACAGAUGGCUGUAGUGCGCCAUUAAAAAGAGAUUCUGAAAGAAAACUGCAAACCAAACUGUUGGGGUGGAUCCUUGUUGAGCACUGCAGCCUUGAGCAAAACACAGAAACCCUUCCUUAGCUGAAAUCAGCAUUCUUGAAUUCUUUUUGACAGGUAUGCACAUUAGAUAAAACCAUAGAAACAGAAUCCUGAUUUGAGAUUUAAUGAGCACAAAGGAAAUAAACCCGCAUUAAAAAAAAUCAUGCAACAGAAAUACUGUACAUUUUUCAAUUUUUUAUUUUAACAUCAAGC